GACGAACGCUGGCGGCGUGCCUAACACAUGCAAGUCGAACGGAGCUCCGCCCGUUCGGGACGGAACUUAGUGGCGAACGGGUGAGUAACGCGUGAAGAACCUGCCUUUCAGUGGGGGACAACAGUCGGAAACGACUGCUAAUACCGCAUACGAUCUGAGGAUGAAAGCGGGGGACCUUCGGGCCUCGCGCGAUUGGAGCGGCCGAUGGCAGAUUAGGUAGUUGGUGGGAUAAAAGCUUACCAAGCCGACGAUCUGUAGCUGGUCUGAGAGGACGACCAGCCACACUGGGACUGAGACACGGCCCAG
rnacentral:rRNA from 1 species